rnacentral:rRNA from 1 species
UACAGAAGGUGCGAGCGUUAAUCGGAAUUACUGGGCGUAAAGCGUGCGCAGGCGGUUAUGUAAGACAGGUGUGAAAUCCCAGGGCUUAACCUUGGAACUGCAUUUGUGACUGCAUAGCUAGAGUACGGUAGAGGGGGAUGGAAUUCCGCGUGUAGCAGUGAAAUGCGUAGAUAUGCGGAGGAACACCGAUGGCGAAGGCAAUCCCCUGGACCUGUACUGACGCUCAUGCACGAAAGCGUGGGGAGCAAACAGG